rnacentral:rRNA from 1 species
UGGAGGACCGAACCGACUAAUGUUGAAAAAUUAGCGGAUGACUUGUGGCUGGGGGUGAAAGGCCAAUCAAACCGGGAGAUAGCUGGUUCUCCCCGAAAGCUAUUUAGGUAGCGCCUCGUGAAUUCAUCUCCGGGGGUAGAGCACUGUUUCGGCUAGGGGGUCAUCCCGACUUACCAACCCGAUGCAAACUACGAAUACCGAAGAAUGUUAUCACGGGAGACACACGGCGGGUGCUAACGUCCGUCGUGAAGAGGGAAACAACCCAGACCGCCAGCUAAGGUCCCAAAGUCAUGGUUAAGUGGGAAACGAUGUGGGAAGGCACAGACAGCCAGGAUGUUGGCUUAGAAGCAGCCAUCAUUUAAAGAAAGCGUAAUAGCUCACUGGUCGAGUCGGCCUGCGCGGAAGAUGUAACGGGGCUAAACCAUGCACCGAAGCUGCGGCAGCGACACUAUGUGUUGUUGGGUAGGGGAGCGUUCUGUAAGCCUGUGAAGGUGGCCUGUGAGGGUUGCUGGAGGUAUCAGAAGUGCGAAUGCUGACAUAAGUAACGAUAAAGCGGGUGAAAAGCCCGCUCGCCGGAAGACCAAGGGUUCCUGUCCAACGUUAAUCGGGGCAGGGUGAGUCGACCCCUAAGGCGAGGCCGAAAGGCGUAGUCGAUGGGAAACAGGUUAAUAUUCCUGUACUUGGUGUUACUGCGAAGGGGGGACGGAGAAGGCUAUGUUGGCCGGGCGACGGUUGUCCCGGUUUAAGCGUGUAGGCUGGUUUUCCAGGCAAAUCCGGAAAAUCAAGGCUGAGGCGUGAUGACGAGGCACUACGGUGCUGAAGCGACAAAUGCCCUGCUUCCAGGAAAAGCCUCUAAGCAUCAGGUAACAUCAAAUCGUACCCCAAACCGACACAGGUGGUCAGGUAGAGAAUACCAAGGCGCUUGAGAGAACUCGGGUGAAGGAACUAGGCAAAAUGGUGCCGUAACUUCGGGAGAAGGCACGCUGAUAUGUAGGUGAAGCGACUUGCUCGUGGAGCUGAAAUCAGUCGAAGAUACCAGCUGGCUGCAACUGUUUAUUAAAAACACAGCACUGUGCAAACACGAAAGUGGACGUAUACGGUGUGACGCCUGCCCGGUGCCGGAAGGUUAAUUGAUGGGGUUAGCGGUAACGCGAAGCUCUUGAUCGAAGCCCCGGUAAACGGCGGCCGUAACUAUAACGGUCCUAAGGUAGCGAAAUUCCUUGUCGGGUAAGUUCCGACCUGCACGAAUGGCGUAAUGAUGGCCAGGCUGUCUCCACCCGAGACUCAGUGAAAUUGAACUCGCUGUGAAGAUGCAGUGUACCCGCGGCAAGACGGAAAGACCCCGUGAACCUUUACUAUAGCUUGACACUGAACAUUGAGCCUUGAUGUGUAGGAUAGGUGGGAGGCUUUGAAGUGUGGACGCCAGUCUGCAUGGAGCCGACCUUGAAAUACCACCCUUUAAUGUUUGAUGUUCUAACGUGGGCCCCUUACCGGGGUUGCGGACAGUGUCUGGUGGGUAGUUUGACUGGGGCGGUCUCCUCCUAAAGAGUAACGGAGGAGCACGAAGGUUGGCUAAUCCUGGUCGGACAUCAGGAGGUUAGUGCAAUGGCAUAAGCCAGCUUGACUGCGAGCGUGACGGCGCGAGCAGGUGCGAAAGCAGGUCAUAGUGAUCCGGUGGUUCUGAAUGGAAGGGCCAUCGCUCAACGGAUAAAAGGUACUCCGGGGAUAACAGGCUGAUACCGCCCAAGAGUUCAUAUCGACGGCGGUGUUUGGCACCUCGAUGUCGGCUCAUCACAUCCUGGGGCUGAAGUAGGUCCCAAGGGUAUGGCUGUUCGCCAUUUAAAGUGGUACGCGAGCUGGGUUUAGAACGUCGUGAGACAGUUCGGUCCCUAUCUGCCGUGGGCGCUGGAGAACUGAGGGGGGCUGCUCCUAGUACGAGAGGACCGGAGUGGACGCAUCACUGGUGUUCGGGUUGUCAUGCCAAUGGCACUGCCCGGUAGCUAAAUGCGGAAGAGAUAAGUGCUGAAAGCAUCUAAGCACGAAACUUGCCCCGAGAUGAGUUCUCCCUGACUCCUUGAGAGUCCUGAAGGAACGUUGAAGACGACGACGUUGAUAGGCCGGGUGUGUAAGCGCAGCGAUGCGUUGAGCUAACCGGUACUAAUGAACCGUGAGGCUUAACCUU